ensembl:lncRNA
UCGGGCUGUGUGUGGGUGGAGGGAAGGGGGUGCGGGGAGUGCGAUGAUGCCCCUUCUCGCCGCCUCCACCUGCGGGUCAGGGGGCUCUGAGAGAACACUCCCGCUCCCACAGGGGUCAGGGCCGCUGCCCCCCGGGCCCUGCGCCCGCUUCGGGUCGGGGGAGCGGGGCCUCUGCUGCUGGCAGCGAUGGAGGUGUCAGCGCGGGGGUUCCAGGUGCCCGGGGCGAGGAGGGGCCUGCUGGGCCGUGCCUCGGGGUCACUCUGAGGGACAGCAGAAGUGAUAACAACAGACAAAGUGAAAUCCACCAUCGCUUUUCGUGUCACGCGAGCGGGACCCGCCUGGCUGUCUCCACGAAGGAGGGAGAAGACCCUUUUAGCAGACGGACAGGGCUCUUCGGAUUUUAUUUUCUUUCCUUCUUAAUUUUUUUUUUAAUUUUUAUUUUUCCCCUUUUUCACCCAAAUUACCUGCGGCGUAUAGCACUCAGCCGUCCCCUCUGUGCAGCAGCAGCCGGGCGAAGCGGAUCCGUGUGGCCGCAGGGGGGAGGCGGCCCCGCGCUGCUGCCGGGAUGGACCCACGGCCGGCGGACAGACCGUCCCUGCAGUCUUGACCGCGGACCUCCCCAGGCUGUGUCCCCCCCGUGUGUGUGCGCAGCUGUCACGGGCACUGCCGGAAUGCCCCCUCCGGUUUCGUGAAUCGCUUUGGCUAUUCAGAUUUUGGGAGGGUGAGGGUUUGAUUUGCCUUUAUUGUGUGUGCGAUUUUUGUUUUCGGGUGGGUUUUUUGCUUGUUUGUUUGCUUGUUUGUUUCUUCCUCUUCUGUUCCCAGACUCCCAUCCCGUCCCCUCCAUGCUUAUUGAGGCAGACGGUGGCCAGUGCCCACCGCCUUUCCCCACUUCCCUUUCAGUUUCUUUCCACCUUAGAAAGCCGUGACCCCCACUAAACGUGCAAAUACAUUUUUAAAGCCUCCUUCUACAACUGGCCCCGCUGUCACCGGCAUUGACACGAUCUUUUUUUUUUUUUUUUUUUUAUUAACAACUUCUCCUCACCCCUAAGGUUUACCCCACCGUGUCGGGGCGGCCGAGGACGGUCGUUCUGCGGCGAUACGGAAACGCAGAGGGAACCACAAACAGGAAAAUGUCACAGGGCACAGAGCACGUCCACGAGCGAACCUGCGGGUCCCCCCGCGCCGUGACGUGGGAAUCCCUCCUGGAGAGGCGUUCUCCAGGAGAGUGAAGAGAAGAGAGAGAGGAAAAUGGGGGAAGAAAAAGGGGGGAGGGUUGGGGGGGGGAAGAGGGAGGGAGGAGGUGAGCGAGUGGGGAGAUGUGAGAGUGCAAUUGGAAACUAAUAAAACUCUUGUUAAAGUGCUUGCUCAGGAUCCAUGGCGUCACCAGGUCCUUUGCUCGCGAAGCCAAAGAGUUUUAUUCCUAAAUGAGUUAAAGAGCCAUUUACCUCUGUCGUGUUCUAUUCAUCAAGCCACAAGUCGAGAGUCCCUAACAUGAAACUAUUUGUUUGCUUACACAACCAGCUGGGUGCAAUUUCACGUCUGAGAUAUCUAUCUGAAAGCGCCUCUCAUUUAUUAUCCCUCCUUGUCAGCGAAUCCAUUUUCCAACUUUCCCCCCACCCCCUCGCCCCGUCCCCAUUCACUGCAGGCUCCGGUCUUAAACGGUCCCUUAAAUUUUUCGGCACCUACACCCCCCUCCCCUCCCACCGGCGCACAGAGCCGGGGAAAGGCUUCACGCCGUGAAACUCGGAGAGCUUCGACCGAGCUGCUUCCCUGUCCUUCUCCAUUUCUCCCUCACCCCGCAGGCCUGGUUGCAGCAGAACGGCUUUUUCCCCUUUUCCCUUUUGAUCGGACUUCACCACGGGGAUGCCCGGCGCAAGGUGCAGCCGCCGGGAGAUGGAUGCACGGAGCGUGCAGUGGGAAGGGCCGAAACCGCUGCGGGGACCCGGCCCGGCCUCAUCCCGGCCUCGGUGGUCCUGACUCCGCGGGGGCCGCGGGGCGGAGGCGGCGGACUCGGAGCCCGGGUGGGAGCGGGGGCGAGGAGGGACUUCGGGGUCUUUUCUGCCACCCCACGUGGUUCCCACCAGAAAUACAAAGACGCUACGAGCAACGGGCCCGGCCGGGUUUCAGAUGUAAUUGCGAGGAAAGAAAACAAUUAACAAAAGGGGCAGUGGGAAACUGUAUCUCCCCUCCCUCCCUUUACCCCCAGUUUUGAAAAGUCGAGAUAAUGUGAGCAGUGUUUCCAUCAAGGCACUCUGGCCAACAAGAGACCACUGUCAGCGAUGGCCGUACAGCAGUGCACACACGUCUCCUCCUCAGAGCCCUCCGCCCUGCUUAAAGCCGUGGAUCAAACCCACAACCACAGGGCACGACAUCUCCCCAGUUGCUACAAAAAUAAGAGAUAAAAGGAAAGAAGGAUGGGAUGGGAGGCGCGGCAGGCGGGCUGCGGGAAGAUGCGGCGUGCGGCGGGCCGGGAGCCGUCCCAUUGUCCCGGGCUCAGAAGACCUCCGCUGCCCGCAGGGGCUGCACACGACGCCUCUCGCCCGAACCCCGCGAGCCCCGGCCACGGCCUCGGGUCCGCACUCGAUCCCCACGCAAACGUCCACGCAUGUCCGGGUCACAGCGUGUUGCUUCAGCCCAGGACAGCGCAGAGGUGCCUGGGGCCCAGCCGACGGCCAUCGCUCCCUCCCCGCCGCCCUUUGGCUCCCCAGGGGGCCAUCAGUCCCCCCCUCCUUUUUUUGGGGGGGGGGCGGGGUGUUUUAUUUCACCAUUACUCAGCCGCUGUGUGUGCUGCGGGACCGGGCCCACGCGUGACUCCAUGGACAGACAGGCGGGUCCCCGCUUUCGUUCUACUCUGGUCUUUUUUUUUUUCCUCCCUCGGGUUAUCCUGGGGGAUCAGAUCUCUCCUGAAGGUCUGCACCCGCUCUGCACAAAGAGACAGAAGAGAAGGGGUUGGGACUCAGCUCCGAAGGCCAAAGAGCUCUUUAAACCCCCGGGCUGCAACCACACCGCCGCUCUGAGCGGCGCUUCAGGGGCCGGAGAGCCGCGCAACUCCCGACACAGCGCUGCGGCUCCGUGGAGCGAUAAAUAACGCCGCUCAGCUCCGGGUGCGUGGGGAGAAGACGUCAGCUCGUGGCGAGCGGAGGAGAGAUGGAAGAGCAGAGCCCAACUUCGGGAAAAGACGCGCUGAUGGCAAACAUCACCCGGCGAUGAAUACUGCAUACGUUUAAUUACGAUGCCCGCUCACCGCGCUCGCACGCACCCCAACCGCCCGUCACACGGAGAGAAAGAUUUCGCUGCGGAGAGGGACAUCCUGCGCAGAGCCCCUAAGAGUCCCAGCCGUGAGGGAGGCGCUCCGGGGGCACUCCCGGCAGCGCUGCGCGCGUUACGGGGACUGCGUCCUCCCGCGGAGCUCUGCGCCUCCGCGCAGCGCACGGCCCAGGUGCCCCGCGCAGGUGCGCGCGCCGCGCGUGAGCGCUUUCCCCACUUUUGUGGGAACUCUUAAAAUACAUAUGUAUAAAAUAAACGCAGCCGAAGUCACAGAGUUUGGGUUUGCUACUGCGACCGUACCUCGGCUGUGCCGACGAUGAUACGCCCCAGCCACGGCACGGAGCGCAGAGGAGAGGCGCUCCGGGCGCUCUCCGGCGUUACACGUGUGCGUGGCCACAGAGCGGUGCGUGGAAAAAUUAACAUCUGUUUCCCGAAAGUAAAGUGCUCCACGUGGCUCCUUACGAAAGCUUCCCUCAGUUUAAAGAGAAAUAUGUGGAGAUAAACUGGCAUCCAUAUGCAUAUCAUAUUGAUAAUGGUUUUAGGCUCCGGAGGUAGCUAUUCAUUGCAUAAGCCAUUUAGAACUGACGUUUUGAAAGCUUCUUAACCUCAGACAUCCCUGCAUCUUAAAGAAGGAUUCCCAACGAUGUUAUUUAAAGAGGAAUUUGCUGUAAUUUAAUUGCACAUCAAGGGGGAAUGGCACGGUCCCGGACUCGGAGCCCGCCUACGCUGCAUCCCGCGGCGCUCCCACGCGCGUCCCUUCGCGGUGCUGCGCCCACCGCUGCCCUUUGCCAUUCCCGCAAUGGCAGGUCGGACCCGGCAGAACGGCCGCCCGGCAGGCAGCUGGGACCCCCACUUUCUUCCCCCUCCCCCCACAAAUGGGCCUUCCUCCCCCCUUCGUCUUUUCCAGUGAGAACUGUCACGGUACGGGGGAAGCGAACCCCCGCGGCGCUUUGAGAAUAGGGGGGUGUCCCAACUGCACCGCCGCCGUGGGCCGGGGCAGGGAGGGUCAAUGUGGCAGUCCCGCGGGGGGCCUGGGGAGACCCCCCAACCCCGGGCCUGCACUGCGGGGGCUUUGAAGAGGGGGGGUGUCCCGAGCGGGAUUCCCUGUGUCCGUGGGCGCACUCCGCGUGGGUGUGGGGGGGUAAGGGGACCCAAGCAGUCAGAUCCUCUCUGAGUUACAGGGAGCUUCUUUCUUUUCAUUUUCUUUUUGCAUUUCUUUUUUUUUUUCCUUUUCCUUUUUUUCUCCCCCCCCUCCCUCCCUCCCCCCCCCCCCCUUUUUUUUUUCUUUUCUUUUUCCCAUAUAUAUAUUUUUUCCUUUUCCUUCCCCAAAGGCCAUAGCAUUGCUGCUCACACGGACACGCGGACCUCCAGCCCCCUCAUUCUGUGCCUUGAAGGGGCGGUUCGUGCUCUCUGCCUGGGCAAAGGGUUGGCAGGGAAUUGCCAUGUGCAAUUCUAGGAAGGAAAAAGGCACAAACCCACAGUUUGUCUUGCUUGGUAAAAUCGUUAAAAUACGUGAAGUGACGUGAAGUUUGGAUGUAUGUGAACACAGUGGACAGAACCUGCGAGGACGGUCCCACUUUAGGAUAGGGUCUUUAUUUAAGGAUGGUGUAUUUGCAGGGGAAAAAAAGGGAGUAUCCCACAAAGCCCCGCUAUACACCGAUAACAAAACGUGUCACAUCUUCACUUAUUGCCGGAACAGAGCCGUGCCCUCAUCUGAACACCUCCGAAGUGAUUACUGGAUCCCUCUCUGAUAAAUCAGUUUGUGGAACCGAGCCGGGAGCACACAGACAAAAAGGUGGGAAGGGGAGAAGAAAAAAGAAAGGGAGAGAGAGGAGUGGGAGCUCUGCUCGCACCGCGUCUGUCCCUCAUUGCACCUUCCCAGUACCGCGGGAGCGCCCCUCCGCCCGUUCUCCUUCCGAAGGAGCUUUCGUUGGUGGCAGCGAUACGUGCUUUGAAAUAAGCGGCUUGCACUUGGGGUGAGGAAGGGGGAAACAUAAGGAAACCCAGCCCAUAUUUCCUAUUAUUAUUAUUAUUAUUAUUAUUGAUAUUAUUAUUAGUAUUAUUCCCUCCCCCGAUUAGAUAGGAGAACUCUUCUUCCCCCACCCCCCCGAGAGAGUGGAUUGAAGCACACAAAAAUGGUGUAUCGGUGAAAGGAAGAAAGUGGCCUUUUAAUGAGAACUAAAGGAAACCAAAACGCAGACGAAGCGCACCGUAAAGGCUGCUUCAAAGUGCGGUGUGAUCCCCGAGCGCAGCCACCGUGCAGGUUUGGUGAUGGGGAGCGCACUGCGCAGAGGCGUGGGUAACGCUGUUUUUCCCUUCGAUAAUUAUAGAUACGUGUCACAGACUCUUUGCAAAGAGCCGGGAGACAGCAGAAACCCUUUGCUGCUGCAAAUGAAGGAAGAGAGUCAACGCCAUUAAAAAAAAAUGAAGGCGAACCCACCCGUACCUGAGCGCUGCAGGGUGCGGCGGUCCCCGCCCCACCGCCGUGCCCCGUGCCCAUCUCCCGACCCUGGCUGUGCUGCAUCACAAGUCCGCACAAGCGACGGAGCGAUAAAUCCUACCAAAAAUAAGACAGAUCUCCUCAUCGAUGUGUAAUAAAGUUAAAGGACAUUGUUUUGUCAGACAAGCGCUAAGUAGAAAAUAAAUCUUUGGGUCUGGGGAAACAAAACGCAGUGCUGUUGGCAUGUGUGUAAAUUUACUUUUAAGAGCAAUAAAUCAAUGUUAAAUUAAACAGCUGGGUUCCUAUCUCGGAGAAUGGUCCGCGGUGAAGGAAACCUCGGCGGAGCCCGCUCCCUGUCCCCGCCACAUCCCCGCGGGCCGGGGGGCACCCACCGGGGGACACCCAGACACGGGGCACCCAUCUGGGGGGGCACCUGACCGGGAGGCUCUCAGCCGGGGCGGGACCUGCCCCAAUCCUUGGGGCCCCACCGAGCCGCCCCCGCUGCCUUGCGCCGGGGUUAAGCAGAGUAACCCGCCGAAACUGCUCAAUGCUGGCAUUAUCCGAGCACUAAUUUCAUCAUUUCUGCAUCAGGAGGCAGAGGCACGGCACGCAGCGCGCUGCCCUGCCUGUCGCUGGGAUCUAAUGUGGAGUGCCCGUCUACGGGGCGGCCGCGAAGGGUGCGAGGAAACGGGGUGCCCCCGGCACGCUGUGUGGGGUGAGAUCCUUCAGAUGCUGAGAGAAGGAGAGAAAGGAGGGAAAGGAGAGGGGAGAAAACGGGGAGAGUAGAAAGAAGGGGAGAAAAGAAAGGGAGGAAGGAGGAGAGAAAAAGAACGUGAAGAGAGAGAAAAUAAAUAUGAAGACAGGAAAGGAAGAAAGGAAAAUGGAAAGGGAGAAAAGGGGAGAAAGGAAGAAAAGAAGAAAAAUAGGAAAGAGGGAAGGAAAGAGAAAGAAGAAAGAAGGAAGGAGAACUGAGCUGAGGAGACGCGCAGUAAAGAUGAAGCACUCCGGUGUAGACACAACGCGAAUCAAUAAGUUAUUAAAAGCCCCGAACAACAAAAGCAAUAUUGCUAAGCAGAAAACAGCUUGGUUUUCUGUUAGAGAAUGUCUGUGUCUGACUGAGAAAUUUGAAGUUAUCAAGUAAAAUUUUAGAAGGACUGAGAAUAAAGGUAUUUGAGUGCAUUGGCUCUCACUAGUGUUACUCAUUCUCUCCCGAGCACGGGGACGAAGGCUCGGACGGAGGAUUCACGGUGACCGCAGCAGUGCGCUGCCCCCCGUCCCCCUUCCCGCUGUGUGCACACUGUUCGCUUUAUUUCCACAGAAAUGAUGCAAACGAGGAGCAGAAGCUUUUUUAAAAUUAUUUUUUAAAUUAUUUUUAUUUUUUUCCCCACGGGAUCCCUGCAAGUUUCAAAAACAUAAAAGGUGACCCUCGGCGGGACGGGCACCGCAGCGGACAUCUUGCCCGCUCUGCCUUUGUUUUGCUCUCUUAGAAAGGAGGAUCCCAACACACGGCAAAGUUGGACGCCGUGUUAGUUUGUUUGCAGAUAAGGGCAUUUUGGUCUCCAAGUUCCACCCCGGGAACUGCGAUCAGGUAACAGUCACAGCAGUGCGUUCUGCUCAUCACAAACCGCUUUCUGCCGCACUCUGAAUGCUUCACGCAUCGCCAGGACAGAGCCCCGCUUGCAUUUUGCCGCAUUUAUUUCUAUUAUUUCCCACCACAACAGAGUCCCGAAGGUCGGUCAACACCGUUCAGGUGCACUCUGCGCACCUCCUCCGCACUGAAACGCGCUCGGAGCAGAGCGUGCGAUCGGGGAGUUUAAUUAGGAAAGAUGGAGAAAUAGAUUAUCCUAAUAACCAGGCGAACAAAUGAAGGACAAAGAACCGAGUGGUCCCCUCGGAUGAUAAACGGAGCUGCCCCCGCGCCUCCCCCGACGUCUGCGGCGUCCGGGUGGCGGAGGAGAUGCGGGGGCCUCUGCGUUUUCUCCGCGCUUUGCUCUGCGCUCAGCUCCGCGCUCGGCUCCGCACCCGCUCCGCGCCGCCG